CCUACGGGAGGCAGCAGUGGGGAAUAUUGGACAAUGGGGGCAACCCUGAUCCAGCCAUGCCGCGUGUGUGAAGAAGGCCCUCGGGUUGUAAAGCACUUUCAGUGAGGAAGAACGCCUGGUGGUUAAUACCCAUCAGGAAAGACAUCACUCACAGAAGAAGCACCGGCUAACUCCGUACCAGCAGCCGCGGUAAUACGGAGGGUGCGAGCGUUAAUCGGAAUUACUGGGCGUAAAGCGCGCGUAGGUGGCUUGAUAAGCCGGUUGUGAAAGCCCCGGGCUCAACCUGGGAACGGCAUCCGGAACUGUCAAGCUAGAGUGCAGGAGAGGAAGGUAGAAUUCCCGGUGUAGCGGUGAAAUGCGUAGAGAUCGGGAGGAAUACCAGUGGCGAAGGCGGCCUUCUGGACUGACACUGACACUGAGGUGCGAAAGCGUGGGUAGCAAACAGGAUUAGAUACCCGAGUAGUC
rnacentral:rRNA from 1 species